rnacentral:sRNA from 1 species
GCCAGGAGUGGUGGUGUAUACCUAUAGUCCCAGCUGCUCAGGAGGUUGAGGCAUGAGGAUCACUUGAGCCCAGGAGUUUGAGACUGUCCUGGGCAACAUAGAGAUAUCUCUGUCUCUA